UGCCAGCAGCCGCGGUAAUACGGAGGGCGCAAGCGUUACUCGGAAUCACUGGGCGUAAAGAGCGUGUAGGCGGGUAGAUAAGUCAGAAGUGAAAUCCAAUAGCUUAACUAUUGAACUGCUUUUGAAACUGUAUACCUAGAGUAUGGGAGAGGUAGAUGGAAUUUCUGGUGUAGGGGUAAAAUCCGUAGAGAUCAGAAGGAAUACCGAUUGCGAAGGCGAUUUACUGGAACAUAACUGACGCUGAGACGCGAAAGCGUGGGGAGCAAACAGGAUUAGAUA
rnacentral:rRNA from 1 species